rnacentral:lncRNA from 1 species
AUCAAUACAAGAGAAAAUCCUAGCUAACACUCUUUGAUCAAUCUCAAUCUCUAAGUAAUCUCAACUUUUCAAAAACUCAAAAUCAGUCAAAAACUCAAAUUUGUUUUUCUGUAUAUAUCAAAAGAUGUUGUUUGUUAUCAAAUCUUAACAAACUAUUAAUUGCAUUUAAAGAUUGGUCAAAGCAUUAAAAACUGGAGCGUAAA